rnacentral:rRNA from 1 species
CACGUAGGGAGCAAGCGUUGUCCGGAUUUAUUGGGCGUAAAGAGCUCGUAGGUGGUUCGGUAAGUCAGGUGUGAAACCUCCAGGCUCAACCUGGAGACGCCACUUGAUACUGCUGUGACUGGAGUCCGGUAGGGGAGCGUGGAAUUCCUGGUGUAGCGGUGAAAUGCGCAGAUAUCAGGAGGAACAUCCGUGGCGAAGGCGGCUCUCUGGGACGGUACUGACGCUGAGACGCGAAAGCGUGGGGAGCGAACAGG